AUUGAACGCUGGCGGCAGGCCUAACACAUGCAAGUCGAACGGCGCGCCUGACGGGUGAGUAAUGCCUAGGAAUCUGCCUGGGAGUGGGGGAUACCGUCCGGAAACGGGCGCUAAUACCGCAUCCUAUCAGAAGAGCCUAGGUCGGAGUAGCUAGUUGGUGGGGUAAAGGCCUACCAAGGCGACGAUCCGUAGCUGGUCCGAGAGGAUGAUCAGUCACACUGGAACUGAGACACGGUCCAGACUCCUACGGGAGGCAGCAGUGGGGAAUAUUGGACAAUGGGCGAAAGCCUGAUCCAGCCAUGCCGCGUGUGUGAAGAAGGUCUUCGGGUUGUAAAGCACUGUAAGUUGGGAGGCGUUACCAGCAGAAGAAGCACCGGCUAACUUCGUGCCAGCAGCCGCGGUAAUUC
rnacentral:rRNA from 1 species